UACAGAGGGUGCGAGCGUUAAUCGGAAUUACUGGGCGUAAAGCGCACGUAGGUGGCGACGUAAGUCGGGUGUGAAAACUCCAGGCUCAACUUGGAGAUGCCACCCGAUACUGCUCUGACUUGAGUUCGGUAGGGGAGUGGGGAAUUCCUGGUGUAGCGGUGAAAUGCGCAGAUAUCAGGAGGAACACCGGUGGCGAAGGCGCCACUCUGGGCCGAAACUGACGCUGAGGAGCGAAAGCGUGGGGAGCGAACAGG
rnacentral:rRNA from 1 species